rnacentral:lncRNA from 1 species
UUUCUUUUAGAAGAGAGGGCCACCUCAUUCAGACUUCUCCAGGGGAAGUCGUUCUUCCCCUCAUUCCUUUUCAGACUGGCCUCCUUCUACAAAUACAGAUUUUAACCAGAGGGUAAUUGUUAGAAAGUGCAGUUUGCAAAAAUGUCAGUAACCUGAAUGCCAAGUUUACUAAUGAAUUGUGACUAGGCUGUUGUUAGUGCCGCCACACUCUCACCUGAAGACCCACAAUCUCCCCUGGACAGAGGGAAACUGGCUGUCCCUCUGUUACUGCUCAGCUACUGCACUGAGGUGGGGUGGCACCAGGGGGACUGGCAUGAAGGUCACAUGAGGGGAGAGUUCCUUUUACAUCUCAGAAGUCUCUUAUUAUAAGGAUCUGCCAACUGCAAGGAGAGAAGAGCCCUGCAGAGCAGAGGGACCUGCCAGAGCGCUGCAGGCAUCAACUUUGCUGGCGUCUUGGAAAGACGCCCCACGUCUCCAUAACAACUAACCAUCCAGCCCUUAGCACUGACAGGGAUGGAGACCUUUUUUGGAGGAGCAGAUCCGGAAGAAAGGUCAGGUGGUUACCUGAAUCCCAAGUCUCUUUGUUUUGUUUUGUUUUGUUUUUCUCCUUUUGCAGCUGUUUUUCUUACUAGAAGCUAGGCAGAAAGAGUUGUUACUCAGAUUUCUUGAACUUGAGACGUCAAAGGUGAGACGCCAGCCAAGGAGAAGGGAUGGUCAGGGAAGCUUCUGGGGAUACCGACAGUAUUUUAUUUUUUGAACUCAGUGGUAGUGACACAAAUUUUCUAUAAUAAUUUGCUAUUUUGUAAUUUUUCAUUUUAUAGACUUUUCUGUCUAUACUAUUUUUUUAAAGUCUUUAAAAAAUAAAUUGGGCAAACUGCUCUUCAGGGACCCAUCGUCAUUGCCAGCAUUUAUUAAGUAUCUUCUGGCACAGGACAGAAAUCAGUCUGCAAAUCACCCUGUGUCACAGCCCUGGAAAGCAGGACUGAGAACCAGAAAACUUCAGUGGAAGUCAUUGGUCCCAGUGGCCAAAGCACCAAACUGAAGAAGAAAGUGAAGAGGUCAGGGGCAAUCACAACAAGUCAUAGGAUCAAUGGGCUAGAGGCCCCAGAGAACUUGUUGAUGCAGUUUGCUGUUAUCCCAGCUUUAGAGCUCUGCCUAUAAACAAAGUCAUAGAGAGGGGAAUGUGAUUCAUGAUUUGUACCUGCCUUGGAAGGGCCUGAAGUGAAUUGGGGUACGCAGGGCCCUGGCCAUCAGUGAAAGAGUGGGUCUUCUGCUGCCCUGCUGAUCCACUGCUGAGGGUAACUCAUGGUCCCAGCACAGCCUUCACUGAACUGUCAGGCACAUGAAGCAAUCAGGAGUCUAGAUUGAGUUUCCAAAACAGGAGCACCUCUUUGCUCUCUGUAAGCCUCCACUGAUGGCUCAUGCCAGCCACAUGGCUCCCCUAGCCUCCCCUGCACCCACCGGAGGCUGUUAAUAGACCUGUCAUUGUGCUCAUGUUGGAUUAAUGACCACUGUUCUCCUUCCCAAAUCCUACACAUUGUUUAAGAGAAAGCCUAAACGCUGCCUCUGCCAUGAAGCCUCUCCAGACCUCUUCAGUAGAGCUAACGUCUCCAGGGCUGUUUGCUCAAUACUUCCUUUCAGGUAUCAGUCCCCUCAGAUAUCACUUGUUUCUCUGCUUAUCAGUCCUCAUUACAUUCUAGUCCAGUGGCUACAUCCAUCAGUCUCCCGGCUAAGAACCUGAGGUCAGGAGCCAGGGCUUAUUAAUUCUUAUAUUUCAUAGCAUCUAGCACUGGGCCUGGUGGAUUUGUAGCAGGUGUGCAACAAACAAUCAAUAUUUAUUAAUAUAUCAGGGUCCAAGAGCACAGACCCAGUAACCAGGAAGGAAGGUUCUUUAGGUUGUCAGAGAACACAAAGGGCCUGGCAGGAGGGAGGCCAAGCAUCACAGAGAACCUUCACCUUUCAAAUCUACCCACUUCUCUCCAUCUCAGCUUCUCUCCCCUGGUUGACUCCUAAGCUUCAUAAUCAUUUACAUUGUAUCAUGCAAUGGUACAAUUCCCACUUAGUUCUGCCCCUCAUUCUCCACACUGAAGCCAGAGAGAUACCACAAGGUUUCUAUCAGUCACAUCAUGCCUGUGCUUAAACUCUUCUCAGGGACUCCCCCUUGCUCUUAGGCAAAAGUUAAGGCCCUCAGCAUGGCCGUCGAAGAUGCUCUGGCACAUCUGGCCUUUGCCAGGCAUCUGGCCACAUACUGAAAUACUCUUGGCCUCACCUCCCUUAAUCCACAGCAAUACUGGACAUUCUUGCAUUCCUUCAAUGAGCACUCCUCUUUUCUAAUUCAGGGAUCUGCAUGUCCUAGGUUUCCUUUUCCUGUAACAACCUUCUUCACACAGUCAUAUUCCAGAUGUCCUACUCAUAUUUAAGAUCUCUCCCCAGGAAGCCUUUCCUAACUCACCCUCCACCUCCACUCCACCACCACCAUUGCUAUCAGUCAAUAAAACCUUCCAAUCAUGUGGUCUUUGCACUGCUCCUUCAUAACACUCAAGGCAUUUGCAAGUACUUGUUCAGGGCCUCUUUGCUUCACUAGACUAGAGGUGGGCAAAUUGUUUCUGUAAAGGGCCAGAUAGGAAAUAUUUUAGGCUUUAGCAUAUGGUCUCUGUUGCAACUAUUCAGCUCUGUUGCUGGGGGGCAAAAGUGGCCUUAGACAAUAUAUAAACAAAGGAGUGUGGUUGUAUUCCAGCGGAAUUUUAUUUAGAGACAUUGAAAUCAGAAUUUCAUACCAUUUCAUGUUUCAUGAAAUAUUCUUCAUUUAAAAUUUUUGUUCAACUAUUUAAAAAUGUGAAAACCAUUCUUAGCUAAUGGGCCAUACAAAAACAGAUGGCAGGCCAGACUUGGCCCACAGCCUGUGGUGUGCCAGCUCCUGCACUAGACUAUCAGUUUCCUAGAGACGGAAGCCACGUCUUGUUCACAGAUGUAUCUCUCCAGCACAGUGUCUUGUUCUCACAAGGCGGUUCAUAAAAAUUCACUGAAUGCCUUGAUAUGUGGACUAGAGCCAUGUUUCCCAGUGUAAAUUCACGGAACACCAGUCUGAUGGGAAACUCCAUACAAAAGGGACACUUCUCUUUGCAGUGAAAUCUGGAAAUGCCAUCAUUCCUCUUCUAACAAAUGUUCAAUGCUCACUGCAUACAGCAUAGCAAAAGCUCAGAGAUAGCCUUCAGUCAAGGAACCUGUUCAACAUAGACCAAUACAAUGCUGCCCACACUCAUUUUGACCAAAUAACUUUCUUCUUUAACCCAAAAUAUCUGCCAGUGUCCAAGGGCAGCCCCACUGAAAAGUGAUGCAGUGAGGAGAGACGGCAGAAUUUAGAGGAAUGGGUCUCAAACUUUAGUGUGCAUCAGAGUCACCAGGAAGGCUUAUUAAAAUAAGAAACUACCCCAGCCCAGAGUUUCCAAUUCAGUAGGCUUAGGUUGGAGCAUAAGAAUUUACAUGCCUUACAUGUUUCUCAGCUGACGCUAAUGCUGAUGGCUAGGGGAACCCCGUUUUGAGAAACACUGAUCUGCAGAAUAAAUGAUUUCAAGGCUUCGGUCCUCUAGCUGGAGUUUGCUCCUCCAUCCAAGGAUCUUAUUCCCAGGUGAACUCCAACUUGUCCACUUUCUCACACUGGCAGUAGCAGCUCUGACCCAUCUUUCUAGUCUUAGGCACCUGUAAUGGGUUGCAGUGUUUUUUUCCAAAAGAUUUGUUUCAAUAGUAAUCCCCAGUUCCUGUGAAGGUAAGCCUUAUUUGGAAAGAAGGUCUUUGCAGAUGUAAUCAAGUUAAAAUGAGGUCAUACUGGAGUAGGGUGAGCUCCUAAUCCAAUAUGACUGGUGUCCCUAGGAGAGGAGGAAAGAGACACACAUAGGGAGAACGCCCCAUGACCAAAGAAGCAGAGACUGGAGUGGUGGCUGCAAGUCAAAGACUGCCAGCCACCAGCAGAAACACGGAAGAUGCAAGGAAGGAGAAACCCUACAGGCUUCAGAGGGAGGCUGGCCCUGCUGACAUCUUGAUUUAAGCCUUCCAGCCUUCUGAACUGUGAGACAAUAAAUUAACAUUGUUUUAAGUCAACCCCGUUGUUAUGGCAUCACUAAGAAACAUUCUAGUCCAAGGACAGAUAAAGCUCUGGCCAAGGCCUUAUUCUUGGUAGGUGUCCACAUGAACUCUGAAGGAGGAAGCCACGAUGUCAGCUGUCUGUUCCCUUUGUCAUCACUGCUAGACACUAUUUGCUGAUUUAUUUGUUCAAUGCUGGUCUCCCACACUAGACCAUGAGCAGGAAGGAGAGGCAGCAUGCAACUGUGCUCGUUGUCUACACAGGGCCUAGCACUGGGCCUGGGCCAGGGCAGGCACCUGGGAGGUAUGUGCUGAAUAAAUGAAUGGAUGGAUGGGUGGAUGGAUGGGUGGAUGGAUGAGUGGAUGGAUGGAUGGAUGGAUGAGUGGAUGGAUGGAUGGAUGGAUGGAUGGAUGGAUGGAUGGAUGGAUGAGGAUAUAAGUAUUGGCAGGCUGGUGGCAGCUUGCAGAAGGAGAGCACAUUAUCUAUAAACACAUUGCCCCGAUUUAUUUAACAUUGUAGUCACUCCAAAUCUUGGUUACCCUCACCUGAAUUUUCUCUUUUGGGGGAAGUUUUACACAACCACCCCAGUUUCCCUAAAUGCCCCCUCCCUGGAUUCCUGCAGCACUUGAAUUUAGGCUUCUGAGCACUGGUAUCUCCCCAAAUAGAUGAGACUCCCCAUGUGGGCAGCAGCCCUGCCUUCUCCUUCAUGUUUGUCCACAGUGCUUGGGUGAGAUCUGGACAUGUAGCCCACACUCUGUUGAAACCUGCCCAUGGCAUGCAGCUGAGGGGCCCUGCCUUCUCCUUGUCCUCAUUUAUUGCCAUCAGUCAACCACCAAUCAUCCCACAUCGACCCCAGAGGCAUUGGUCUUGGGGUCUCCCUGGUGCGGCAAUGUGGGCUGCCUUCCCAGCCUUGUCCAGGUGGCAGGACUUCUGCUGCUGACAACAGGGCUGUGAUACUCAGCUCCCCAAGGCUGAACUGGAUGACUAAGAGUCCUAAUGAUUCUGGUAUUUUUUCAGGACCUGUCUCCAAAGGCAGGAGGACAUUUAAAAAUGCAUGGGUCUCUGCUAGGUGACACAUCCUGCUUAGGAGUCUGCUGGCCUCCAGUCUGGGACAACAGAGCACUUCAAAUAGGCACCUGUGUUCAUCGCGGUGCUUUCUGUCCACACAGGGCCUUGGUUUCUGAGGCUGAGAGAGGAUAAGCUAAGCAAGGGGCAGAACAGGACACCAACCAUCUCCAGACCCCAGUACAACACAGAUGGCAGGCCAAAGAGGGACUGUGUCGUCUGAUUCAAGAGUACAGACUACACAGCCAGAAUAAUCGGGGCCUGGCUUGGACUCUCUUUAAAUAUUCAUUCCUCAUCUGUAAAAUGAGCAUAUGAGUCCCACUUCACCAGACUGUAGGACAUACGUGAAGGACUCUGCAGUGUCUGGAACAUAUUUAUGGCCCCUGAAAUAAACAGUUAUUGAUGACAGAGAUGAAAAGAAGAAGAUCCAAUGGAGUAAUCUUCAAGGCCUGCUUCAAGUCUUGCCUUGAUUGCUGCAAGAGAGAAGGUCACCUAUCUCCCCAGGUAGCCUCUCUCACCCUGACAAUGUAUCUUCACAGGUAAGGGACAAAGACAAGACUAGAAAUCAUCCCUCUGCCCACCUCAAGACAAAUGCAGAUCUGACUUCUUCUUCCUCUACUCUAUGUUUACUUUAUCUUAUGUAAAAUACAAGAUUUACUGAGCAGGAGCCGAAUGCA